UACGUAGGGGGGCUAGCGUUGUCCGGAUUUAUUGGGCGUAAAGAGCGUGUAGGCGGCCCGGUAAGUCCGCUGUGAAAGUCGGGGGCUCAACCCUCGAAUGCCGGUGGAUACUGUCGGGCUAGAGUGCGGAAGAGGCGAGUGGAAUUCCUGGUGUAGCGGUGAAAUGCGCAGAUAUCAGGAGGAACACCAAUUGCGAAGGCAGCUCGCUGGGACGUUACUGACGCUGAGACGCGAAAGCGUGGGGAGCAAACAGG
rnacentral:rRNA from 1 species